UACGGAGGAUGCAAGCGUUAUCCGGAAUGAUUGAGCGUAAAGCGUCCGCAGGUGGCUAUGUAAGUCUGCUGUUAAAGAGUGAGGCUCAACCUCAUAAGAGCAGUGGAAACUACAUGGCUAGAGUGCGUUCGGGGCAGAGGGAAUUCCUGGUGUAGCGGUGAAAUGCGUAGAGAUCAGGAAGAACACCGGUGGCGAAAGCGCUCUGCUAGGCCGCAACUGACACUCAUGGACGAAAGCUAGGGGAGCGAAUGGG
rnacentral:rRNA from 1 species